GGGUCAUUUCAAAAUAUUUCAUAUCCCGCCGCUUCACUGCUCUUAUCUCUCUCUCUCUGGCGAUUCAGGAACACCACUUCUCAAACCCUAAUCCUAAUUGCACCACUCAUUUCCGUCACUUUAUUCAUUUCUCUUUAUCUCUCUCUUGAUUUCCUCUGGUUCCAUCAUAUCUUCUUCAAUAUUCAUUUCAUUUAAGGUGGAUUACUGUUAAUAUUUACACAUAUGAUGGUGUGGUGGUGUUUUUGAAGUCGAAUGUUAUUUUAAGGCAGGUCCUUUAGGGUUUGGGUUUGCUACGAAGUCGACUCAGGAGUUUAGAAAGAUGGAGCCAAAUGGGCUUAUGGUUAGUCGCCAAGCAAAACCGGAGAAUAUUUGAGGAAUCAAGGCGAGAUUUCAUCUCGGUACCAGAUCGGUGGACGGUUCAAAGAAUCUAGGGUUUUGAUGUCAGGACCACAAGGUGAAAAACGAUGAUCAAAGUUGAUUUGAGUCCCUUAACGAUUACAGAUCUAUAUUGACCCUCACCCUCACCCUAGGUGAUGCAAGUGUUGUUUAGAUGGUUGGCUGGAAAUCCUUCCCACAAAUGGGAUAUAAUGGCUCAGUAUGGUUAAUAGCAAGUCCUGCUGACCCUUGGUCUGAUGAUUAUGGAUACUCAAAAGAGAGUAUGCAGAAAAUUGGUUCUGGUGAUUGUUCCAGUGUAAAUUACUGAUUGGGUACACAUAUUUCAUCAGCAACUUUUGAUUAAUUAAGUUAAAGAACAUAAAAUUCACAGUGUUUUUUCAAUAGCUUGAAGAUUAUUUUAAGAAAAUUGUUGUAAUUUUUGUUCUAUAAGUUUGACGAGGCCAAACUAUCAACCAGAAGGGCUUAAUGAAGAGUACAAGAUGGACUGAAGCAUGGAUGAGUGAUAACACCUCUCCUUUAUUGGUGGCUUAGUCAUAAGUGGUUGAUCUAUUUAGACCAUGAUUUUGUAAUUUUUUUUUUUGUUAUGAAGGUUAUAUUGAAAUGUUUAGUGCAGAUAGCAAAUGUAGUUGCUUGAGGACUGGAUAUUCAAGAUGUUAUUGCAAUAAAUUACAACUUCUUGUUGAUCAUAUAGGAUAUUGUCCACAUAAUUGGAAGAAUGGGUCGUGCAAGUAAAAAGGGUGUUGCACACGCUUUCUUCAUGAAGGAGAAUAAGGCUAACGCUAGACUAGCGUUUUCUGAAAAUGUUGAAAAUGGAGAAGAAGAAGAUGGGGAUGAUAAACCAAGUGAGUUCGGGUGAAGAGGCUUUGGCAAAGAUCCCACAGUUGAAACUAGCUUUCUGCCAGACAGCAUACUCUUUCAAUGAGAGAGAGGCAGAGGAGCAAAGCUGAGCAUGAAAGGUUGCGGAAACAAUGGCUACGUGAGCAAGAGUGCUAGGAGAGCAUGAAAAGUUAUAUUUGUAGGUUACAUAAAUUAUAGACAAUUGGAGCAAAAACUAAAGGAAAGUCCCAGAGGUUUAGUUUCUGGGCUUAAGGGUCAGAUUAGGUUUCGGACAAGCCAUGUUAACAGCUGUGGUAGGGGUCCUCCUUUGGUGAGACCUAUAGGAGCAACUGCAACACCAUGUUAACAGCUGUGGAUGGAGCUAUCCAAUUGGUUCCGACCGCAGAAGUGUCGUCAAGAUCAUAGGAGUUUGCUAUAAGUAGCUUUGCUAUUUGUCAGAUUUACUAGGUAUGGUUGUUUUUUAUUUUCCCAGAAUUGAAUCUUUUUUAAAUCUUGAUCUGCAUCAAACUUUCAAGAUUUAGGUUUCCUCUUUUUAAAAUUAACAAGAUUUAAUGUAAAAGAUCUGUAGUUAUGAACAAUUUAUCAAGUAAUGUGAG